ensembl:lncRNA
CAAAUCAAAAACAGCCACAACGAUAAUAAUAAUAAACUUAAGUAGCUCUUCACAAUUGUUUAAAAAAGUCAGGAAAAUUCAUUGGUCUAACAAUGUAUAGGAACCAUGACAUAAGCUCUAUUACUGACCAAUUAUUAGAUGUGUAUUCUUUAUUAACCCCAUUAGCAAGAACUAAUUUUUUCUUCACUGUUUUAAACACACACGUGGAGUGUGCUGUCUAAAUUACGUGUCCAUAAAUGCAGUCCCACAGAAGAACACCUGGGCAUGUGGUGUCGUCACCAAUGUGGGCGUGGCGACGGCGCUGGCCAGAGCAGAGGCCGCGAGAGCGAGCGCAGUAAUUCCCGGUGAACGAGCGCAUGAUGAUUUACUUUACCGGAGUUUGUCCGGCAAUGUCAUGAGUGAAAACGUCUCGGAAACCAUCUGGUCUACGCCGCUCAGAUAAAAUGAACACACCAAGAGGAUUUUUAAUGUUUUUGAAGACAAAGUAAACCUCGAGGAGCGUCUGUCUGGAUUAAACUGAAUAUAGAAUAUAAACAGAACAUCUCAGCGGACAGGGGGAGCAGUGAAGCUAUAAUCUGAGUAUGGGCCCUGAGGAGCUGCCUGAUUUUAUGGACACGGUAUGAUUUUGUGCAUAUGUGUUUCUGUCUGAGUAAAGAACCAUAUGUGUACCAAUUAUGUGCCAAUAAUUUAGGAUUAUCUGUUUGUUCUGACUCUCACUCAUUACAUCCAGAUGUCGAGCACUCCUCCUCUCUCUCCUCGUACUGUUGGUUCCUCAUUCUCACCUCCUUACUGCUCUCCACCGGUUGUGACCUUACGGCCCCCUGCCACUCGUCACCUGACUCAGCUCGACCCCUGGAGGAGACACAGCUGGGAACCUGGAGCUGUGGCACAGGGAUAUCCACCCAAUGACACACGCAGUGUGAGUCUUGAAGAUCUGGAUCUGGAUGAGAUUUCCUUAGUGAUAAACGGUGCAUUGAGGUCAAAAAGAGCUCGAGAAGCCCGCAGGUCUGUCACUCAAGCUUCCCUGACGUCACUUACCGAAGAGGAAGUUGGAGCAGAGCAUCAGGAACAUCAUCAAUCAGCGCUGGAGGAGCAGUCCAAUCAGAUGCAUGGCUGCAGUGCCUCCGCCCCUAGCCUGUAUAUGAUGCAGCAGAUGCCUAGAAGCUCCGCCCCUCGCCCCCGCUCCUACUGCCAUGGUCAGUUGAGUGUGUUUGGGGUUUCCAGCUUGUUCAAAAAUUAAUUCAAAUGAAACCAUUCAUUUAUGUUUUCUGUGUGGUUCUUUUUCUGACUUUUUUAUGUUAUUUUUGUUUUACAGUUUCCCCCCUAAAAAUAAGUGUUCAAAUAUUUUAUGUCAACUAUGUUUCUGACUCUUUAUUUAUGACAAUUUUGCGUUGCUCUGAAAAUGAAACCAAUAUUAAGAAGACAGCAUUACGUCACGGGCAAUCCAAGUUCUAUUUCCUCAAAUCAAUGAGAACAUUUUUCUUGUCUUGUUCGGUGUGAUCUAGAGAGUGUUUCGUACCACCAGAUUGGAGGAUCAUCUCACAGGUGUGACUCAGUACUGGCUUGUUUUAAUUGUAAAUAUCCUAACAUAUUCUAUUGUAAAUAUCCAUACUUAUAAUUUCUGUUACAGUAUAGACAGCGAGUUUGCUUCUCCGGGCUGGGACAUAGAUGGAGGGCAAAUAAAGGCUGAGGGGCACAAAAACA